UCAAACUUUCAGUCCAUCACUUGAAGACUUAGCUUGCAAGUUCUGCAACAGAUACAUUACAUAUGUCUGUAGACUGUGUAACUUGCACACUUGUCAUCCCAUAUUCCUGGUAUAGUAUGCUUAACAUAAUUUCUAAGUUUCUGCCACCCACUAUUGUGCCAUAAACACACAAUGUAUCAUUUUUAACCUUCCCCUGCUUUCUGAGUGUAAGCCAGUCCUUAUCUGUCUGAAAUGAUCAACUGCUGUCACCCUCAAGAAGACUCCCAUUGUUCUUUAAGUUCUGUUCUUCAGUUGUCCACCAUUCUGUUGAAAAUGGAGGAGGGGCAAGGAAGGUCAGUAUUGUUUUCACUUAAAAUGGUAGGAGAAGGGGGAUUAUGUAACUAAGUGAAUCCUGUCAACCUGUGCCAUUUCCUCAAUAACUUCAUGGAAGAUAAACCUGGAUUAUAAACAUUCUAAACAUAUUAUGUAUGUUGUUGGAAGGCAGAAAAAACAAGGUUUGAUUUUCCUCUAUCUUUGGUUGCUAAGACGCACCUACAGUAUGCUUUGCUGGAAAGAUUAAUGUGGUUUAUUUAUUUAUUUAUUUAUUUGGAAGAGACAGAAAGGCCAUUCCUCUCUGAUGUCUAAGUAUAUAAGUUCCCUUGUACUCUGUGAUGAAGGAAGCUGAGUGCCAUUUUGAGAUCCAGCAUCACCAUCUGUGGCAUACUGAACAAAAUAUGCAGCAAGACUCCAAGAAUGACCCUGUUCUAAGGCUGGCCUGCAAGAGAGAAGGUCAUCCACCAGGGCAACCAAGGCAGUUUCCAUCCCAUGUCCAGGUCGGAAGCCAGACUGGAAAGGAUCUAAGUAAUCAGAUUCAUCCAGGACUGCCCAUAGCUGAGACACCACAAUGCUCUCCAACACCUUGCCCAAGAAGGAUGCCUUGAGGAGAAGAAGUCCAGGAGGAUGCCAGCAUGGCUAACAGUUUGAGGCAGCUAUCCAACAAUUCCUAAAGUAUCCUGAGAGCGAUUACAGAUUACUUUUCAACCAGUUAAUUACGGAAAACUUGUUUUUACUUAGUCAUUCUAAUUAAUUUUGCUUAACUAAACCAGAUUCAAUCCAGUUAUUUGCCUUAAACCCUAGAGGAAUUUCAGACACACAGGAAAUUGUACAAAAGGCAUCACAUGAAUGUUCAAUGCAUUUCAACAGUGGUAUAUUUUGUUCAUCCUCGUAUAUUUUGAAGUUAUUUUCUGAUAUUGUAAUUCAUAUAUGUAAAUCUUGAGUUUUGUUUUACAAAACUAAAAGGAAUUGUUUUAAUGUAUAGAAAGGCAAAAUUGCAGAAAGGGAAAGAGACAGAGUGAGCAUGUAUACUUUAUUUUUCUUAUUUUGCUUUAUAGAUAGCGAUGCACACUUUAUUUUUAUGGCACAAUUUCAUUGCCAUAUAAAUGAUUUUGUUUCUAGUUCUUACCCUCUCAGUUUUACUAAUUAGAAUUUUAGUUUCUCUGGUGAUGUUUAAUUAUUGAAGCUUUUUUAUCUAAAUAAAAGUGG